rnacentral:rRNA from 1 species
UACGUAGGGUGCAAGCGUUGUCCGGAAUUAUUGGGCGUAAAGAGCUCGUAGGCGGUCUGUCGCGUCGGCUGUGAAAACCCGGGGCUCAACCCCGGGCCUGCAGUCGAUACGGGCAGACUAGAGUGCGGUAGGGGAGACUGGAAUUCCUGGUGUAGCGGUGGAAUGCGCAGAUAUCAGGAGGAACACCGGUGGCGAAGGCGGUUCUCUGGGCCUUACCUGACGCUGAGGAGCGAAAGCGUGGGGAGCAAACAGG